rnacentral:misc_RNA from 1 species
CAUCCGCGGGGGCGCCGCCAAAGGGCCCCCGCCCCCAACGCUACGCCAGCAGGAACACACCGCGGCGCCAGCAAGACGCGCCACCGCCGCCGGCAGCCGCCCGACCACCCCCCCCCAGCACAGACCUGGCCCCACCAGGCGCUUUUAACGAAGGCGCCACCCCGGAGGCGCGCGGAGGGCAAAACGGACACCACCAGAACGAAAGGCCCGGAAACAACCCCCGCGCCGAAGCCCCAAAAAGCACAACCGACCACACCAAAGCAACCAGGGAAAAGGCAUACCUGAUAGAGAACCAAAGCAACCCCACCGCGCUUACCCCUUGCAGAACCAACGACGCAAACCCCACCCGCCGCGCCCCAGGAAACAACUUUGCGAAGAGCCUUUCCCCCCGCGCAACCGCACCAACGAAGGUUUGGCGGAGACAAGCCCCUUCGCACAAACCUCCCCCCGUACGCCUUUGGGUGUCAACGCGCGAAAUAAGCUUUUUUUUGCCUUUCUCGCUUAACAAACUAAGUUUUGACAAAAGGGAAGUGAAAACACAGCCCCACACACCAUUUGCCCCACCG